CCUACGGGAGGCAGCAGUGGGGAAUCUUGCGCAAUGGGCGAAAGCCUGACGCAGCCAUGCCGCGUGAAUGAUGAAGGUCUUAGGAUUGUAAAAUUCUUUCACCGGGGACGAUAAUGACGGUACCCGGAGAAGAAGCCCCGGCUAACUUCGUGCCAGCAGCCGCGGUAAUACGAAGGGGGCUAGCGUUGCUCGGAAUUACUGGGCGUAAAGGGAGCGUAGGCGGAUAGUUUAGUCAGAGGUGAAAGCCCAGGGCUCAACCUUGGAAUUGCCUUUGAUACUGGCUAUCUUGAGUAUGGGAGAGGUAUGCGGAACUCCGAGUGUAGAGGUGAAAUUCGUAGAUAUUCGGAAGAACACCAGUGGCGAAGGCGGCAUACUGGCCCAUUACUGACGCUGAGGCUCGAAAGCGUGGGGAGCAAACAGGAUUAGAUACCCUGGUAGUCCACGCUGUAAACGAUGAGUGCUAGUUGUCGGCAUGCAUGCAUGUCGGUGACGCAGCUACGCAUAAGACACUCCGCCGUCGGGAGGUACGGUCGCGAGAAGUUAAACUAACGAAGAAGUAGACGGCGUGAGACGUGCCGACGGACGACGACGACGGGAGGUUAGG
rnacentral:rRNA from 1 species